GGGUGCCCGCCAGGUCUCAGCGCCCAAACGGUGGUCUGCGGAGAGCUCACGCUGAGGAGCCUUCCCCGUCGCUCGACCACCAGUGUCUGCUCGUGCCUUCCCAGGAUACCCUCAAAGACCUGAGGAAGAGGUCCUUAGGCUUUACCUGACUGCCCAUUUGGUUCACAGCAGCACAAGAAAAUGUAUUAACCUCUAGAGACUGGAAAGCUUUCUGGGUGGCGCUAGUGGUAAACAACCCACUGCCAGAGCAGGAGACAUAAGAGAUGUGGGUUCGAUCCCUGGGUUGGAAAGAUCCCCCUGGAGGAGGACACAGCAACCCACUCCAGUAUUGCCUGGAGAAUCCCAUGGACAGAGGAGCCUGGUGGGCUACAUAGUGCUGCAAAAAGUUAGACUCAACUGAGUUGAUUUAGCUCCUGAGGUUGUAUUUUAGAUUCCACCUAGAAGUGUUAUCUGGGAUUGGUGAUGGACAGGGAGGCCUGGCGUGCUGCGAUUCAUGGGGUUGAAAAGAGUCGGACACGACUGAUCGACUGAACUGAACUGAACUGAGAAGUGUUAUUAUAUGAAAUUUGUCUUUCUCUGUCUGACUUCUUCACUUAGUAUGAUCAUCUCUAGGUCCAUCCAUGUCGAUGCAGAUGGCAUUAUUUUGUUCUUUUUGAUGGCUGAGUAAUAUUCCAUUGUAUCUAUGUACUACAUCUUCUUUAUUUCUUAAAAUAAAGCAUAUAGGAACUCAAAGA
ensembl:lncRNA